UUUGAGGAAUAUUCUCAGCAUCUUGGCUAUCCCUAUCCUUUCGUGCCUCUAAACCAAACGGGUGGCAUCCCUCAGAAAAUUGGCUAUCCCUUUCCAACCAACCAAGGGAUAACGGAUGAACCAAACGCCACCUAAAUGGAUAAGGGAGAGUAGCCAGGAAGCGAUGCCCCAGCCGCAUGAUCCCCAAUUCACACGACCAGCACAUGCCCCCACGGCCGGUCGGGCGAGGAGCUUCCGCUGCGCUCUUCCUCGUCGGAGGAGCCGCCGGGGAGGCUGGUGCCAGGCGUGACGCCAUUGGAGAGGCUGCUCGCGAACCCGAGCACGGUCGGGCUCCAUGUGCCAGCGCGAGCGGAGUGCGUGCUUGAAGACGAGGGCACCGCGCGCCAGCAGUAUCUCGCUGGCGCCUGAAGGUGUCGGUGCCGACCGCCGCAGGCGCGCGUGGAGACGGGCUGGGCACCGCCGAGACGUGAGCAUUCGUGGCCAUUGGUCGCCGCUUCCGUCGGCCGCCGGAAGUUCAGUCGCGCAGGGGCCGAGCCGCGCGCAGCCGCCGCGGAUGCCUUAGGCGGUCGUGCCACAGGGCCGCGGGAAGCCGCGCUAGUGGAGCCGCUGCGUCGCGGCCGGUCCGCUGAUGCGUCAUGUGCUCGAGGCCUCCUUGCUGGUGCAUGGCUGAGGGCAGGCGACUGGCGAGAGCCCAAGGGUGGAUUUGGAUGGGAUAUCAACCCGGCCGGGUUUAACCGAAGACGCAUAUAAGGUAGGUCGGGAUCCAACCCCGACCGGGGUCAAAAGCACGUGGAUUAGGCCAAAACCCCGCCGAUCCCGGCGGGGGCGGGGAUUAAACGAACAAAGCCUCUGAUUUUUGCGUGGGUUGGGGGCGGCGCCGGCGAGGGUUUCCAGAACAAACGAGGUGAUGCAAGAGGGUUGAAUAGUUGUGGUGGAGCCGGUGCCCCGCUGACCGUCGGGCUCAGGCGCUCAGCCGUCGACCCCCAACCUGGACCCAUUAUCUGAUCCGUGGCCCAGACGAAAAAAGUCACGUCCUGGUCCACGACCCACUACGACGCGCGCUAGAGUCCUUCACGCCGUUGCGCUUCGGGCCCAGUCCUUCGCAACUGUUUCGUACCGUAUUCCCCGGCGCCAACGAUUUACCACAUCUCGAUUCUGACACGGCAGCUGGAUUUGUUCACAUCCCCAGCAUGGAACGGACGAGCAGGAUUUCGGGCUCAGCUGAGCCCGAGCACCAAAUCGCCGCGUCCUUCCAAUUUAGCUACCUACUGUACAUUUCAUAUGAUUUAACCUAGUUUUUCGUUCAUGUAAUUGUCUUUAGUUUCUAUAAGUUGUAAAUAUAUCCACUGCAUCUAUGCCCUAAUAUUACCAUUAUAAAAUUCUCAGAUACAUCAA